rnacentral:rRNA from 1 species
UACAGAGGUCCCAAGCGUUGUUCGGAUUCACUGGGCGUAAAGGGUGCGUAGGCGGUCGGGUAAGUCUGAUGUGAAAUCUCACAGCUUAACUGUGAAACUGCAUUGGAUACUAUCCGGCUCGAGGAAUGGAGGGGAGACUGGAAUACUUGGUGUAGCAGUGAAAUGCGUAGAUAUCCGGAGGAAUACCAAAGGCGAAGGCAGUGUCCUGGAGGGUGACUGACGCUGAGGCGCGAAAGCUAGGGGAGCGAACAGG